AGAGUUUGAUCCUGGCUCAGAAUGAACGUUGGCGGCGUGGAUUAGGCAUGCAAGUCGAGCGAGAACCCGCAAGGGGGACAGCGGCGAACGGGGUAGUAAGGCGUAGGUGACGUGCCCUUAGGACCGGAAUAGCCACGGGAAACUGUGGGUAAUGCCGGAUAAUCUCAGCGGAUUUGAACAUUUGCUGAGCAAUGGGUGUGAUUCCGCCUUUGGAGCGGCUUACGUGGUAUUAGCUAGUUGGUGAGGUAAUGGCUCACCAAGGCGACGAUGCCUAGGGGGUGUGAGAGCAUGGCCCCCACCACUGGGACUGAGAUACUGCCCAGACACCUACGGGUGGCUGCAGUCGAGAAUCUUCGGCAAUGGACGAAAGUCUGACCGAGCGACGCCGCGUGCGGGAUGAAGGCCUUCGGGUUGUAAA
rnacentral:rRNA from 1 species